GAUUGUGCGGCUGCCAUCCUGAUUUUUCUGCCACCCCAGCACUUCCUGGGCGAGUCCCUGCUGCCAUUAAUGGUCAUUAAGCAAGUGCAGUUUUGCCCAUUGCUGUCACUUGCCGUAACUCCAAGCCGAUCGCCCUGCACCCAAGUCAUGAGCGUGCAACCCUGGAGAUGCUGCUACAGUCAUAUGUGCGAGGACCCGUGAUACAUCACUCUUUUCAGUGCCAUUGAAACUGUAGGCACAGCGAGGAUCUCCCUCGUUUGGAUGUGUCAGAAGAAAGAGACAGUUCCCAUUAAGGCAGAAUUAGGGGGCGAAACUAGAAAUGUGGGGCUCAGUCCCGGAUCACAGCGGUGCUGAUACCUGCCGUGUUAGCAGCCUCCGUUCCUGUGGACCAACUGCCAAUCCACCAUCUCAAAGCUCAAGGCAAUGAACAUACCGAAGACUCCUUCGUCCCUACAACAACUAGCUUGUGAGACAGGUCAGCAACAGGGAAGAAACGGCCCUAAAGUGAAUAUCCCUGGGCUAUCUCUCAACAGCCAGUGAUGGUUAAGCAGUGAAGAGAUGCCUUUGACCUUCAGACCCAGGAAUUCAAGAGACAAACAACGGAUGAAAGAGCAGCACAGUUGCCUCAAGAAGAUGGUCGAUCAACUAAAGAGCACAACAAAAAAGUGGCAGAAAACUGCUGGAAAAAAGAGAAAGGUUGGAGCGUGCCACCACCAUGAUCCCUCAGCGAGGGCUAAAGAUCAAAUAUUUGGUGAAACACACUGAAGAACUGCACAAAGAACGCUGCAGGUCAGCAGCCAAGCGGCCUUUCUCAAAUAUGAGAAGGCUGCCUUAGAACCUUUGAGAAGAGGUCUCGAAGAAGUCUGGAACCUUCUUAAGAACUGAAGAAGCACCUCUAAAGUCUGCAGCAUGAACAGGUUGAGACGGACCAAAGUUACUAUGCGGAGAAAAGCCACUCCAGCCAACUGAUGCAGAAAGUCAGUCCUCUUCAGCAGAAUGUGAGGGAAAAAAAGAAGCAGGUCAACAAUCUACAGCAGCAACAGCAGCCGCCGCAGAGCUAUACUUCCCAGGCCACAGUUGGAGACCUGUGGAAAGCCGAGGAGGACAACGGAGAAGGACUGAACCAUGUCAAAAUGACAAUGCAAGAAUUACAGCUGCAGACGAGGUGUUUCGAGAAAGACAGUGAAGAUCUCCACAGGGAGGUCCCCAGCCAAGUGGCCUUCUUCAGAAAUGGUUUUUGUACUCCUAAGCGACCAGCACAUGGGACAACUCGCUGACCCUCACUCCCCAUAGCUGGAAUGGAGGAACGGUGGCCUUUUACCCUUUCAAGAAAGAAAAGGAAUUCUUCCCCUCCCUUCCCCUCCCUUCCCCUGACUUGCCACUUAGUGUGCCGGGGAGCCAGGCGAGCCCCCCCCCCACCAGCUGAAGCAACACCUUCACCCUCGCCCUCCCAAUCACUGCAGGGCUGUCAGCUGAGCUGAACACCUCACAGCCACCGAGCAUCAGGGCCUGAGAGGGCUGGGGAAUCCCAGGGCUCCGAGCCAAAAAGGAGCCUGGAGGUGAACUUGGUAGGGUGAGUCCACAGGCUCCUCUCCAAGCCUCAGAGUUCCAGCUGAGGAUGAGGGCCACCAGGGACAGGGUGAGGGCUCUGCGGUGGGCAGAGCAGAAAGUCUGGCCAGAACAGGAUCUGGAACCCACAACCGAGUGGCUGAAUGAGCCGAGCAGCUGGCAUCCCAGCAGCCCACAGGAGAGGAGCAGAGAGGAGAACAGCUAGAAGCCGAACUGGGAGCCGAGGGGUCCGCAGGAGACGCCACGAGGCAGCAGAGACCCCCGGAGGCCGCAAGGCUGACGGAGCUGGUGGCAGAGCUGGAAGACAGGGCUGGGCUGAGGGUCUCGGGGGCAGGCAGACAUUCCUGCUGCUCCAGAGCCUGCAAGAGAGUGGCAACAGAAGGGAGAAGCCGGGGGUGGUCAGUGGCCUGUGGGUGGUCAAGUAGUCUUAGGGGUGGUAGAACAUAAGAGAUUGAUUCAUAGGGCUGGAAGGGACUUUGGAGGUCUUCUACUCCAACCGUCUGCUCAAGGCAGGAACUUUCUGCCAUCCCAGUCAAAUGGUUUGCUUGUCCAUUUUUGAAAACUUCCAGUGAUGGAGCACUCACAACUUCUUACUGUCUGAAAAUUUCUCCUGACUUCUUGGUUGGGUCUCCCUUUCAACGUCCACCCUUGUCUUUUUUCCUGCUCUGCAGUUCUUAAGUCACUCCCUGUCCUUUGAGACAGACCCUAACAGUGUGGAAGACUGCUGUUGUGUCUGCCCGAUCCUUAUCAUCUUCGAUAGGCUACACAUAGCGAACUCCCUGAACCGUUCAUGAAACGAUUUAGCCUCCAGCUCUUAAAUCAUCUUUGUUGCUCUUCUCUUCAAACUUUCUGCAGUCUCAACAAUGUUUUCUAUUGGGCUGACCAGAAUUGGAUACAGUAUUCCAAGGUGGUCUCACCAGUGCGAUAUAAAGCAGUACCAGCACUUCUGGCGAUCUUGAAACUGCCCCUCUUUUAUUGCUGCCUAAGACUGCAUUGGCCUGUGUUGACAGCUGCAGCACACUUCUGGCUGAUCCUUCAGUGGUUUUCCUCUAGAUCCGUCUCACAGUUAUCUCUGCUGAGCCAGGUACCGCUCCUUCUGUGCCUGUGCAAUUGAUUUUCCUGCCUAAAGAAGAACUGUACUUUUCUCACCAAUGAACUGCAUCUUGUUAGAUGGGCCCAAUGUUCACGUCUGUCAAGAUCCUCCUGGAUAUUGAGCCUAUCUUCCAACAAUCUUGAUGUCCUCUGCACAUUUGAUGAGUUCCCCUUCUAUCCCCUCAUCUAGAUCAUUGAUGAAGAUGUGGAAGAGUCCUAGGCCGAAGGCAGAUCCCUGAGGUACCCCACUGAAUG